AUACGUAGGUGACAAGCGUUAUCCGGAUUUACUGGGCGUAAAGGGCGUGUAGGCGGUCUUGCAAGUCAGAAGUGAAAUUCCUGAGCUCAACUCGGGCGCUGCUUCUGAAACUGCAGGACUUGAGUGCUGGAGGGGAUAGCGGAAUUCCUAGUGGAGCGGUAAAAUGCGCAGAUAUUAGGAAGAACACCGGUGGCGAAGGCGGCUAUCUGGACAGUAACGGACGCUGAGGCGCGAAAGCGUGGGGAGCAAACUGGAUUAGAUACCCUGGUAGUCCACGCUGUAAACGAUGAAUACUAGGUGUAGGGGGUAUCGACUCCCUCUGUGCCGCAGUUAACACAAUAAGUAUUCCGCCUGGGGAGUACGGCCGCAAGGUUGAAACUCAAAUGAAUUGGCGGGG
rnacentral:rRNA from 1 species